rnacentral:rRNA from 1 species
UACGGGGGGGGCAAGCGUUGUUCGGAAUUACUGGGCGUAAAGGGCUCGUAGGCGGCCAACUAAGUCGGAUGUGAAAUCCCCAGGCUUAACCUGGGAACUGCAUCCGAUACUGGAUGGCUUGAAUCCGGGAGAGGGAUGCAGAAUUCCAGGUGUAGCGGUGAAAUGCGUAGAUAUCUGGAGGAAUACCGGUGGCGAAGGCGGCAUCCUGGACCGGUAUUGACGCUGAGGUACGAAAGCGUGGGGAGCAAACAGG